UAGGGAAUCUUCCGCAAUGGGCGAAAGCCUGACGGAGCAACGCCGCGUGAGUGAUGAAGGUCUUCGGAUCGUAAAACUCUGUUAUUAGGGAAGAACAAAUGUGUAAGUAACUAUGCACGUCUUGACGGUACCUAAUCAGAAAGCCACGGCUAACUACGUUCCAGCAGCCGCGGUAAUACGUAGGUGGCAAGCGUUAUCCGGAAUUAUUGGGCGUAAAGCGCGCGUAGGCGGUUUUUUAAGUCUGAUGUGAAAGCCCACGGCUCAACCGUGGAGGGGCAUUGGAAACUGGAAAGCUUGAGUGCAGAAGAGGAAAGUGGAAUUCCAUGUGUAGCGGUGAAAUGCGCAGAGAUAUGGAGGAACACCAGUGGCGAAGGCGACUUUCUGGUCUGUAACUGACGCUGAUGUGCGAAAGCGUGGGGAUCAAACAGG
rnacentral:rRNA from 1 species